CCCUUGAGUUUCUGUGGAACUUUCUUGUCACACAGGACUCCUGAUGCAAGCCUCCACUUUGACCACCCCGCUCCUAUACGAUGAGUGGCGUCCCCGUCAAUCUCUCCGUCCCCCUGAAUCACAGACCCAAGGUAUCGGACACUGUUCCUCUUGGCGAUGGCAUGGAACCAAUCAUCACGUCCCUGCCUACUUCGCUCGGCUCGGCGCUAAGCUUGCACUCCAGGUACUCUGUCUUAGAUCUGCUUAUUUUGAAACUUUUAGACUCGAGAGUCUGUCUCCAAACCUCUAACCUUUCAAUAACACCGACCCUCGUC
rnacentral:lncRNA from 1 species